GACGUAGGGUGCGAGCGUUGUCCGGAUUUAUUGGGCGUAAAGAGCUCGUAGGCGGUCUGUCGCGUCUGCUGUGAAAACUCAGGGCUUAACCCUGAGCUUGCAGUGGGUACGGGCAGACUAGAGUGCGAUAGGGGAGACUGGAAUUCCUGGUGUAGCGGUGGAAUGCGCAGAUAUCAGGAGGAACACCGAUGGCGAAGGCAGGUCUCUGGGCCGAUACUGACGCUGAGGAGCGAAAGCGUGGGGAGCGAACAGG
rnacentral:rRNA from 1 species